AGUCAUAAUAGUGGAGUAAGGAUCAGGAUAUGAGAAAGUGGUUCUGGAUGCCAUAUUCAUAUUUGAACAAUUCAACUUUCUCCCCAAAGAAUGCAACAAUCAACCUCUCCACAGCAAUGUCAGCUGCUACGUUUUAGACGUUGAGGACUUCAGCAAUUUGCUUGCUCAAGGUUACUUCAUAGAAUUGCAAGACAUCACGGAAAACUUUACUAUUUGGAAUGAGUCAACUCAACUUCCUUGGAGCAAUAAGUGAUUAAAAAAACAAAAGAAAUGUUAGGAUAUGUUGAUGGAAAUAGAGAAUAUGGUGAUUUUGAAAGUAACCUUGCUUGAGGUUGUGUUUCAGUUUUUUGUCAAAUUUUCUUAAUUUCAGUGACAAAAUACAAGGAACUUUCCUUCAGCACCUGCCUUUUCUUCCUUUUUGUUUUUCGAUUAUUUUUGUUACUUGGAAUGUGAAAGCUAUAGAUGAUGUAACUUGGAAGUGUAUUAUAUUUGUUCUUAAUAAAAGAAUAUUGUUAUCUCA